ACUUCCUACGGGGCGCAGCAGUGGGGAAUAUUGCACAAUGGGGGGAACCCUGAUGCAGCGACGCCGCGUGAGUGAAGAAGUAUUUCGGUAUGUAAAGCUCUAUCGGCAGGGACGAAGAUGACGGUACCUGCAGAAGAAGCCCCGGCUAACUACGUGCCAGCAGCCGCGGUAAUACGUAGGGGGCAAGCGUUAUCCGGAUUUACUGGGUGUAAAGGGAGCGUAGACGGUUACGCAAGUCUGGAGUGAAAGGCGGGGGCCCAACCCCCGGACUGCUUUGGAAACUGUAUAACUGGAGUGCAGGAGAG
rnacentral:rRNA from 1 species